GGCGGAGGCCUAACAAAGCAAGUCGAGCGCGCCUUCGGGUGAGCGGCGGACGGGUUAGUAACGCUUGGGUAACGUGCCCUUCUCUACGGCAAUAGCCUCUGGAAACGGAGAGUAAUACCGUAUACGCCCUUUGGGGGAAAGAUUUAUCGGAGAAGGAUCGGCCCGCGUUAGAUUAGGUAGUUGGUGGGGUAACGGCCUACCAAGCCUACGAUCUAUAGCUGGUUUUAGAGGAUGAUCAGCAACACUGGGACUGAGACACGGCCCAGACUCCUACGGGAGGCAGCAGUGGGGAAUCUUAGACAAUGGGGGCAACCCUGAUCUAGCCAUGCCGCGUGAGUGAUGAAAGCCUUAGGUCGUAAGCUCUUUUCGCCCUGUGAUGAUAAUGACAGUAGCAGGUAAAGAAACCCCGGCUUACUUCGUGCCAGCAGCCCGCGGUAAUUACUGAGGGGGUUAGCGUUGAAGCCC
rnacentral:rRNA from 1 species